AUGGUUAAGUUAGAAAGGGCGCACGGUGGAUGCCUUGGCACUAGGAGCCGAAGAAGGACGGGACAAACACCGAUAUGCUUCGGGGAGCUGUAAGUAAGCGUUGAUCCGGAGAUUUCCGAAUGGGGGAACCCACUGUCCGUAAUGGGACAGUAUCCAUGCGUGAAUUCAUAGCGUAUGGAGGGCAUACCCGGGGAACUGAAACAUCUAAGUACCCGGAGGAGAAGAAAGCAAUAGCGAUUCCCUGAGUAGCGGCGAGCGAAACGGGAACAGCCCAAACCAAGAGGCGAGCCUCUUGGGGUUGUAGGACACUCAAUACGGAGUGACAAAGGAACGGAGUAGACGAAGCGGUCUGGAAAGGCCCGCCAUAGGAGGUAAGAGCCCUGUAGUCGAAACUUCGUUCCCUCCUGAGUGGAUCCUGAGUACGGCGGGACACGUGAAAUCCCGUCGGAAGCAGGGAGGACCAUCUCCCAAGGCUAAAUACUCCCUAGUGACCGAUAGUGAACCAGUACCGUGAGGGAAAGGUGAAAAGCACCCCGGGAGGGGAGUGAAAGAGAACCUGAAACCGUGUGCCUACAAGUAGUCAGAGCCCGUUCACGGGUGAUGGCGUGCCUUUUGUAGAAUGAACCGGCGAGUUACGAUGACGUGCGAGGUUAAGUCGAAGAGACGGAGCCGUAGCGAAAGCGAGUCUGAAUAGGGCGUUUAGUACGUCGUCGUAGACCCGAAACCAGGUGAUCUACCCAUGUCCAGGGUGAAGGUAGGGUAACACCUACUGGAGGCCCGAACCCACGCACGUUGAAAAGUGCGGGGAUGAGGUGUGGGUAGGGGUGAAAUGCCAAUCGAACUUGGAGAUAGCUGGUUCUCCCCGAAAUAGCUUUAGGGCUAGCCUCGAGGGAAGAGUCUUGGAGGUAGAGCACUGAUUGGGCUAGGGGCCCUCAUCGGGUUACCGAACUCAGUCAAACUCCGAAUGCCAAUGACUUAUCCUUGGGAGUCAGACUACGAGUGAUAAGAUCCGUGGUCAAAAGGGAAACAGCCCAGAUCACCAGCUAAGGUCCCAAAGUAUACGUUAAGUGGAAAAGGAUGUGGAGUUGCCGAGACAACCAGGAUGUUGGCUUAGAAGCAGCCACCAUUUAAAGAGUGCGUAAUAGCUCACUGGUCGAGUGACUCUGCGCCGAAAAUGUACCGGGGCUAAACGUAUCACCGAAGCUGUGGGAUGACUGACGUCAUCGGUAGGGGAGCGUUCUAAGGGCGUCGAAGCUAGACCGGAAGGACUAGUGGAGCGCUUAGAAGUGAGAAUGCCGGUAUGAGUAGCGAAAACAGAGGUGAGAAUCCUCUGCACCGAAAGCCUAAGGGUUCCUGAGGAAGGCUCGUCCGCUCAGGGUUAGUCGGGACCUAAGCCGAGGCCGAAAGGCGUAGGCGAUGGACAACAGGUAGAGAUUCCUGUACCACCUCCUCACCGUUCGAGCGAUGGGGGGACGCAGGAAGGUAGGGCGAGCAGGCUGCUGGAAUAGCC
rnacentral:rRNA from 1 species